GUUGUAGAGUUGAAAAUAUGAAUCGAGGUAGAAGGUAGAACAUUUUCACAAUUAAAGGAAGGGAUUUCAGAGCUGCGGAAAGAAGUCCAUGCAACUAGACUUGCAGGUGAAGUGGCGGUCUCUCACACCGAGGAGGGGUUCCUUAAAAGAAACAUCAGGAUACCUUGAAUCUUCAUGAGGAAAACAAAGAGUAUGAACUGGAGAUUGAGGACUACAGCAAAAAGAUCUAUGAACAGGCAGCGAAGCAGCUUCAGAAGAACAGGAAGCACAUGCAGCAGAAGUUCAGUGUGAACGAGGACCGGAGAGCAGAGGCUAAGGAGGAGCUGUCCCAGAUGGCUACGCUGCACCCCAAUGCCAAGGUCAACUUGGAGGAGCUGGAGCAGAAGACCUUCAUGGUGGAGCAGAGGAUGCGAGUAUGUGUGAGAAGAGCCAUGCACUUAGCUAGACAUCCAUGCACUCUAACCUGUAGUAAAUCCAUCCUAGAUAUAGAGGUGGCAUAUCCUUAUUGACACGUCUAAUGUUUAGAUUCAGCGCUUUGACCAUUAGAUAUUGCCGAUCACAUAAUCUGCACUAGUUGUCAGUGAAAUAAGCACAUACUUUUAGAGAUUCAUCCAUGCAUGGAGACUCACUAACAAGUUGGGUUUGUGAAAGGAAAGGAGCACUUGAAGAUAGACGUUCAGAUAGAUCCAUGUACAAUGAUGGAAUGGGCUUCUUUACUAGUGUUACUGAUGCAACACAUCAGUAUCUCCUCGGAAAGUGACUGAGAAUCCUAAGAAAGACGAGCGAGAUGAAAGCCCUGGCCAUUCUGAAGGAUAAAAGAACAACUAUUGAAGCAGAAUUACACCAGGAGCAAACCAACACAGAAAACGCCAGAUGGGGACUUCAUAAGGAAUUUGAGAAAGUGUGAAGUUUAAGGUAGACUUCACCGUCAAGAUAGAACUGCCAAAGGGGGAGGAGUUGCAGUAUACUGCAGAGAUAGCCUGCAAAGUAAUGUCAUACUUUCCAGGUCCAU